GGCACAAAUGAUGAACAAUUUUGGGACUUAAUACUGAUCCUUGAUGACUGUUGUUUUCUGAUGUGC